rnacentral:rRNA from 1 species
GACGUAGGGCGCGAGCGUUGUCCGGAUUUAUUGGGCGUAAAGAGCUCGUAGGCGGCUUGUCGCGUCGAAUGUGAAAACUCGGGGCUCAACUCCGAGCUUGCAUUCGAUACGGGCAGGCUAGAGUUCGGUAGGGGAGACUGGAAUUUCUGGUGUAGCGGUGAAAUGCGCAGAUAUCAGGAGGAACACCGGUGGCGAAGGCGGGUCUCUGGGCCUUACCUGACGCUCAGGCGCGAAAGCUAGGGGAGCAAACGGG